CACUAGUGAUUGUGAAUUGCAGAACUCCGUGAAUCAUCGAAUCUUUGAACGCAAAUGGCGCUCUUGGUUAUACCGGGAGCAUGUCUGUCUGAGUGUUGGUUAAAAAAAUUGAGCGCACACCUGCUUGUGUGUGUGAGUUCGACUGGGGCGUCGCGUAUCAAUUCGUAUACGCGUCCCUCGAAGUACAGCUCGUUCAACGCUGUGCGAACAAGGCCUAAGGAAUUCUUGCCCUUGCCAGCAAAGCGCAUGUUUGGUCGUGUCCUUUACCAAUUAACCUCAGAUCAGGCAAGAUUACCCGCUGAAUUUAAGCAUAUAAGUAAGCGGAGG
rnacentral:rRNA from 1 species